AUGCAUUCAAAAAAUGGUGCGAUAUCAUUGCGCACCGAAGAUGUGUUUGACAUUUUCGGGCUACAGAACAAGGGCAAAGAUGCCAUGAAAGUGCUAGGAAAAGGGGGGUUAAAGGCGAAGGUGAAGGUGCCUAGUCGCUUUUUAGAUUCCAAUACGGGGGAAAUGAUGAUAGACGACCUGAUUGAGAACAUCGUUGCCAGUGGCACAUACGAUGAUGAUUUCCUCCGUAGAAUGUUCUGGUUCUUCUAG
rnacentral:rRNA from 1 species